rnacentral:rRNA from 1 species
GAUGAACGCUAGCGGCAGGCUUAACACAUGCAAGUCGAGGGGUAUUGGUUUUCGGACCAAGAGACCGGCGCACGGGUGCGUAACGCGUAUGCAAUCUACCUUUUGCAGAGGGAUAGCCCCAGAGAAAUUUGGAUUAAUACCUCAUAGUAUAGUACUUUGGCAUCAAGGAACUAUUAAAGUCACAACGGCAAAAGAUGAGCAUGCGUCCCAUUAGCUAGUUGGUAAGGUAACGGCUUACCAAGGCUACGAUGGGUAGGGGUCCUGAGAGGGAGAUCCCCCACACUGGUACUGAGACACGGACCAGACUCCUACGGGAGGCAGCAGUGAGGAAUAUUGGACAAUGGGCGCAAGCCUGAUCCAGCCAUGCCGCGUGCAGGAAUAAGGUCCUAUGGAUUGUAAACUGCUUUUAUACAGGAAGAACACACCCUCGUGAGGGUACUUGACGGUACUGUAUGAAUAAGGACCGGCUAACUCCGUGCCAG